CCGGACUGUUGCUCCGAAGUGAGUGGAGGUCGCUUCUUCAGGCACGCUCGGUUGUUGUACAAUAAAUACGCAUAAAAGGAAAACAAGAAGCGAUAUUAACGAAUAUAACAAAUACGGAAACGUCAGCGUCCAGAGGAGAGAGGAGUUUAAAGGAUCAACCUCGAUAUCGUUGACCCAUUAAAAGUGUACAGAGUAUAUAUAAAUAUACCUAAGAACGUAUUAUUAUUCUUGACACGCUCAAAGUUAUUGGCAGUGAUAUUACAUGUAACGUGAUCGGUAUUAUUUUAUUGUUCGCCUGUAUUCCUCCGACCUAACGUUCGUGUUCCGAUCGAGCUCGUCGGGUGGUAGGAACCUUGGAACAAAUUCAACUCGUUGGAAAAUACACGUCGAUUGUUGUUGAGAUUUUAUUUAUCUUCGCCACUUUGAAACUGUAUAACAACGUGUACACGUGUGCGGAAUUUAAAAAAUAGCGGAAUAUACGUACGUGUGAUGAUAGUUCGGUUGAUCUGGUAAACUCGAAAUCAUCGAACAUUGAAAAAAUUAACAAGUAAGAGUUGUUCAUCGAUAGAAGAAAUUUUCAGUGCCGCCAGUCACGAUGCGUUGUUGUGAACAAUUUGUAACACUCGUAACGACGAAUCAACACAUAAUCAAAUGUUUGAAUUAAACGUGAUAAACUAAUUGUUUUAUAAACUUAAAGUGAAGUGUGGAACGUGCGUCAGGCAAGAUUUAUCGGAGCGAGAGAAGGGGAGAUAGAAAACUAGAGUAAAUGUUUUCACUUAAAACUUCGGAUUCGAAUAUAGUGCGACGAAGUAUUAUUGUGACGAUAUAUCAUCGCAGUGACACUACUACUAUGGUUUUAUUCUAGAUUACGAUAAUAUAUUACAAAAACACACAAGGACACGAAUCAUAGUGAACCUCUGGUCAGAGCGAGAACAGCGUCGCAGUGUUUCGACUGGUAACUGACCUCAACGGUUCGUUCGAAAACAGUCGAACGUAGAGACGAUCGAAUUCGUCGGUGUCCUCCGUUUAUCCGUCACUCGGUUUACUUUGGAGUAAGUAUAGUACUCGGAGUAACUCGCCACCGGAUACCGAAACAAACGUUUCAUUCGGCGACGGCCGUGAAGUAAGUGAGAACAAGAUCGGUCGUUCCUCGAAGAGACUCGGCGGGUCCAACGCUCGUCGAUAUACCGAAAAUCGGAUUUGAUGUAUCGCGCAAUUCGACCGAAUUCGUUAUAGCGUCACGAGGGGCGGGGUGCGUUUCGCGGGGGCUGCGAACCAGCGUCGUGUCGAAAGAACCGAGGUGGCCGUGUCGCGAUUAGUGAAGAGACAGAGAGAAAACAGGCUCGCCACAUUCUAUUGACACCCGAUAGUCAGAUAAAAGGCGGCAAGCUGUACGGACACAGGGAGGACGACAUGUUGACGAUGGAGACGGACCUCAAGGGCGGCAGCCUCCACGGUCAGAUGCCUCCGCACCCCCAUCAGGGUGUAUCGCCGAUGGGUCACCACACGGGGGUGUCGCCCUACGGAGCCCUAGGCUCGAUCGUCCACAGUCCGGCGCUUUCUGGAAGUCCGCCGAGCGCGGGUGGCCUGGGCGGCCUGGGACUCCAGCACCAUCACCAGCCACCGCCGCACCAUUACGCCUCCAUGCAAUCCCAGCAACAACAACAACAACAGCAGCAGCAACAGCAGCAACAACAACAACAGCAGAGUAUGCACGCCCUGGCGAGCCAACAAUCCGCGCAGCAACAGCAACAGCAGCAACAAGCGGCCCAACAGCACCACGGCCAUCCCCAACAACCGCAGCAGCAUCAGCCUCCGAACAACAACAACAAUACCAGCAAGAACAACAACAUCGACCGCGUCAAGAGACCGAUGAACGCGUUCAUGGUCUGGUCGAGGGGUCAGAGGAGAAAAAUGGCCCAAGAGAAUCCGAAGAUGCACAACUCCGAGAUAUCGAAGAGGCUGGGCGCCGAGUGGAAACUCCUCAGCGAGACCGAAAAACGACCGUUCAUAGACGAGGCGAAGAGACUGCGUGCGGUGCACAUGAAGGAACACCCCGACUACAAGUACAGACCGCGUAGGAAGACAAAGACCCUGUUGAAGAAGGACAAAUUUCCCCUCGGCGGCGGAGUUACCGGCGUCAGUGGAAUGCUAGGCGUUGACCAGAGGACCGUCGGUGCCGGUGGACCUCAGCAACCUCAACUACCGCGAGACGUUUACCAAAUGCCGAACGGCUACAUGCCCAACGGUUACAUGAUGCACGACCCUACCGCCGCUUACCAGCAACACGCUUACGGAGGUCACAUGGGUGCCGCCGCCGGUUACCCCAGGUACGACAUGGGCCACCACAUGGGCGGCGGUAGUCCGAGCCCGAUAAACAGCUACAUGAACGGGUACGGGGGUUACGGGGGUGCAACGGUUCCCGGUGGUUCGCCGUCGCCGUACCAUCAGCCUCAACCGGGUUCCCAAAUGUCCAGUCAUAGCCCAUCGGGAAGCAGCAUAAAAUCAGAACCGACAAGUCCCGCCAGCGGAGGGAUACACACGCCGACACCCACCGGGCCCUCGUCGACCGGGGCCCCGGUGAAACGGGAGUACAUGGGACAGCAACAGACCCAACAACCUCAGGGUGACCUUCGGCAGAUGAUUUCGAUGUAUCUACCCCAGAGCGCGGAACAAGGCGUCGUCCAACACGGCGGUAGCGUUUACUCGCCUGGACCAUCACCGGACCCCCUGGCGCAACAUCAUUCGGGCGUUCCGCCGCUAACUCACAUGUCAGAAAACGAGCGCAAAAUGCUAAAUCCUGAAACUGGCUGUUACUCGGAAUCCGUACGCGCGUGGGAUUGGACCGCGACGAGCAGCGCGCGUGUUCCUGAAUCCUGGCCCACGUGAACGAUCGGUCCUGUAUCGACGCCCGCGCCGCGGCGCCGAGGUUCGCCUGCUUGGCCGUUUUGCGCACCGCCAUGGUACCAUUAUCCGGAGGAGGCUUGGAGACCGCCACCGAGACGAUAUUCAUCGAUGCCAUCAUCUCCUUGAACGACUAUACCCA
rnacentral:misc_RNA from 1 species